ACCUCUAGCAUUACUAGUAUUAGAGGCACUGCCUGCCCGGUGACACACGUUUAACGGCCGCGGUACCCUGACCGUGCAAAGGUAGCAUAAUCACUUGUUCUUUAAAUAGGGACUUGCAUGAAUGGCAUCACGAGGGUUUGACUGUCUCUUACUUUUAACCAGUGAAAUUGACCUAUCCGUGAAGAGACGGAUAUAGCACAAUAAGACGAGAAGACCCUAUGGAGCUUUAAUUUAUUAAUGCAACUAAAAACUACACAAACCUACAGGCCCCUAAACUACUAUACCUGCAUUAAAAAUUUUGGUUGGGGUGACCUCGGAGCACAGCCAAACCUCCGAAUAAUUAAUGCUAAGACUACACAAGUCGAAGCGAACUAAUAUUUACAACUGAUCCAAUAACUUGAUCAACGGAACAAGUUACCCUAGGGAUAACAGCGCAAUUCUAUUCUAGAGUCCAUAUCGACAAUAGAGUUUACGACCUCGAUGUUGGAUCAGGACAUCCUAAUGGUGCAGCAGCUAUCAAGGGUU
rnacentral:rRNA from 1 species